UAUUUGAAUGACAAAGGGGCCAAGCCCAAUGCCAAGGUGGUUGGGAAGGAAGCCUCGACACCGCUUGGGAGUUCCAAGAUUGUGACCACUCCCACUCCUAAAUCGAAGAACCCUGAAGUUGAAGUCAUGGAAAGUGUUGUCACAGAGUACAUGUGUCAGUUUACUCGUGAACAAUAUGAGGGUUUCAUGGCCACGAAGAAUGCGAAUUCAAAUCUUGAAGCCUAUGCUAUUCGUAACAAUCCAAUGAUAAUCCCUAGUUCGAACCAAUCUUCACCUCUCUUCCAAGAUGUAGGACACGAUUCGGGGGCAAAUUUAGGAAGACCGCCUGAUGUUUUGAUGAAGGAGUCUAUAAUUGGCAGAUCGACGAACAGGGGAUCCUGCAACAUUGAAUGCUGAUGCAAAUGCCGUUGUCCUGGCAUAGCUAUCGCCCGUGGUGGUUCUCCCAUUGUUUCCUUGACAAUGAUGAAUAUUAUAAGCUAGAAUUGCAGGGGUGCAGGAGAAUCACAUCAGUGGUCCAAGGGGAGAAGCUGUUAAAAACAAAACCGGAUUUGACAGUUCUUUCAUGGUGGAGGCGAAUGGCCACUCGGGGGAUAUUUGGUGCCUGUGGGACUCUUCUACCUAGAAGGUGAAUGUUCUAGAGCAUAAUAGACAGAUUAUCCACCUCAUGAUUUCUGGCUUGUUGACCUGGGUUAUGUAUGCUGGCCCUACACUUGGAGAAGAGGGAACCUUGUUGAAAGAUUGGAUAGGGAUUUGAGUAAUCUGGAAUGGCAGCUGACUUUUUCAGAAGCUACUUUGAAGCACCUGCCCAUGUUUAAAUCCGAUCAUGUGCCUCUAUGUCUUCAACUUUCUACUAUUGGUUCUUACAAUAGACAAAGAAGACCUUUCUGUUUUGUGGCUAUGUGGCUAUCAUAUCCAGACUUAAAAAACAUGGUCAAUAACUCCUGGGACAUGAAUAAUUCUUGGUCUGAAGGCAGUAAUAAUUUUAAUAAUUCUUUGAAGACCUGAAACUCUAAUGUGUUUGGGGAUAUUUUCAAGAAAAAGAAGAUUCUUCUUAGAAGAAUGCAGGGCAUUUGCGUCUAGCCUUGCUCAGGGUCAAUAAUUUUUUGAAAAAUCUUCAAAUUGAACUUUGGAGAGAAUACGAAAGUGUGCUUGCUCAAGAGGAGUUGUUGUGGUACCAAAAGUCAAGGUGCAAGUGGAUCGAAUUUGGAGACUGCAAUACAAAGUAUUUUCAUGGAUCCACCAUGAUCAGAAGAAGGAAAAAGAAGAUGAACUCGCUCCUUAAUUCUAAUGGAUAUCUUAUUACUGAUAAAAAUAUUUUAGAAAAUAUGGCCCAUUCUUUCUUUGUUGAUUUAUACCAUGAUGCUUUACCUGAUGUUCCGUUUGUUCUAAAUAAUGCUUUCCCUUACCUAAGUGCAGAAGAUUAUAAUUUUAUUAGCAGGAAUAUGUUGGAUUGAGAGAUCCAAGAAGCUGUUUUUAAUCUGGAUAGCUUUAAAGCUCCUGGAAAAGAUGGGCUGCAAGCGGCCUUCUUUCAAAAUCAAUGGGAGACAGUGGGGCUGAUCUUUGCACUCUUGCUCAACAGAUUAUUGUGAAUCCAGAAAAGAUUGAGGAGUUGAAUGAAAUUCUGAUAACCCUUAUUCCUAAGACGAAUCCGGUCACAAGCCUCAGCCAAAUGCGCCCGAUAAGCCUCUGUAAUGCCACUUACAACGUCAUCACUAAAAUUCUGGCAAAUUGUACAAGGAGUCUUAUGGAUAAGCUAGUUGCGCCGACCCAAUGUAGUUUCAUUCCUGGAAGACAAAGUACUAAUAAUAUCAUUAUUUUUCAAGAAAUUAUUCACUCCAUGAGAAAUAA